GUGGUAAUGCCGGAUGCUCCAUUUCAUUGCAUGGUGUUCUGGGAAAGCCUUUGCGGCAUGGGAUGGGGUCGCGUCCUAUCAGCUUGAUGGCGGGGUAACGGCCCACCAUGGCUUCGACGGGUAGCCGGCCUGAGAGGGCGACCGGCCACAUUGGGACUGAGAUACGGCCCAGACUCCUACGGGAGGCAGCAGUGGGGAAUAUUGCACAAUGGGCGCAAGCCUGAUGCAGCGACGCCGCGUGAGGGAUGGAGGCCUUCGGGUUGUAAACCUCUUUUGUUAGGGAGCAAGGCAUUUUGUGUUGAGUGUACCUUUCGAAUAAGCACCGGCUAACUACGUGCCAGCAGCCGCGGUAAUACGUAGGGUGCAAGCGUUAUCCGGAAUUAUUGGGCGUAAAGGGCUCGUAGGCGGUUCGUCGCGUCCGGUGUGAAAGUCCAUCGCUUAACGGUGGAUCCGCGCCGGGUACGGGCGGGCUUGAGUGCGGUAGGGGAGACUGGAAUUCCCGGUGUAACGGUGGAAUGUGUAGAUAUCGGAAAAGAACACC
rnacentral:rRNA from 1 species